GGGCCCUUGGGCUAGCUUGGUCUAUACUUCGAGCUUUGGGAGCUCGAGACUCCGGUUCGAAUCCGGAAGGGCCCA
rnacentral:tRNA from 1 species